UCCUCUUAUUUGUGGAAUCCGACAGUGUGCAACUUGGUGCAGCUCUAGCUGGAAGUGGUUGGAGAUACACUGGCCUGAUUGUCAAAGACUUCUCUGAGUUCAAGAGUGUGGAGAGGAAGAAAAAAAAAGAAGCACCAGAUUGAACCUGGAUGAAGACUGCCAGAUUGAGCAGUGGAGCAUGGCCUUCAGGCUGGGGUAGUGUGGUUUUAGAUGGGGAGGACAAAGCCUGGGAGAGUGGAAUAGUUUGGUGUUGUUGGGAAAUAAUCAAAACCCGAAUCCUCUCCAGUGAACACACCAAAUUGUGAAUCAGCAAUGCUGCCAUGGUACCUUGUAAGAAUUGUGACAGCCAUGCCACGUGUGUCUGCAUCUGCUGUGAGUGGGGUUUCCUGCAGAACAGGGCUCUAGGUGAGGAAAGAGGACUCAGCAGCAGUUGCCCACGCUGCACUGUGAAAGAGGCCCUUUGGCCAAGCAGUCUGUUGCAUAAGGUGGGUGGAAACUUGAGGCAGCUGAACCACGUCUCCCAUGAGAUACUACAACAGCAUCUCCAAAACCAAAUAUUAUGCUUUCUGACCAAAACCUUUUCAGUUUCAAAACCUCUUUUCAGAUUUAGGUCUGUUCCUCUUCAGCUCUAAGUAUUGAAAUUUUCUAUGGAAAACAAAUAC